AUGCUGCCCAUGCUUUCCCAUCCAGGGAAAAGUACCCCCUAUUCCAAGUUCAGCGAGAACCCGAGCUCUGCAAGUGGCCCUGUCUGCAGUAGUCGAAAUGGUGGCCUUCAGAAGCUGAGAGCGACAUUUUCAAGGGUUUUGCCUCCCAAGCCAUCCCUGGCCAACUACAAGAUAACUGCACCUCUGCUACCGUGGACACCUGCUGUCGCCAGCAGCCGGAGAGGCACCGGGCUCACACUUGUACCAGAAGGACCGGUGUGUUCAUCACUCCUGGUUAACUGCGAGUGAACGCAGGGUGUGGAGCUGGUGCAAGGGCUUCCCUUGAAUGAGGAGCUGGAGGUCCUUCCUUCUCUUAGCUCCCCUCUAGCGCCUUCCCCAUGCCCUCUCUGGGGCCCCAUCAGUGUCAUCUUGCCACAGUGGUCAAAUUCGGAAGCAUGCCAUCUUGUCACCCUCUGCAAGGUGGGCAGAUCCCAAGUCCUAUUUUGUCUUGUAUCCUCUCAUUCUUCCCAGUGAGGUCACCGACCGCGUAUCAGCCUCCUCUUGUUAAUAAGAAAUACUUCUCAUAGCAUGAUACCACUGAGGGUGAAAAGAAAAUAACCCUCAAACCUGUCAGUGGGAAAAGACAGGAAAACAGAGUGAAAUAGAGAACUACAUGCUGUAGCAUAAUCCUUGAGGUUUUGUCCUUGACAAAGGGCUUGCCCAAUUCUUAAGCUUCUCAUCAAUCCAAUAGGAGGCUUCAGCUGGAAUGGAUCCCAUCCAGUGCCAGGGAUCUUUGGUGCAGUAGUUGACUACUUGGGGGUUCUGUCCUCAACCAACGGUUGUUAAAUAUGCCGUUUGUUCUUCCCCUAGCGCCUCUUUCCCUUCCCCUCUGCACUGUGUUGAACCAUAGUAAUCUUCAGCAGCCUAAACACACAAAAUGAAAUAAUCCAUGGUAGCAAAUUAGGGACAGAGAGGAGGACAAACUGUAGAAAUGUCUUCUAAAACAGAGCACAAGAGGGGUGCCCAGGUGGCUCAUUCAGUUGGAUGGCAGACACUUGAUCUCAGCUCAGGUCUUAAUCUCAGGGCUGUGGGGUCAAGCGCCAUGUUGGGCUCCACACUGGUCAUGGAGCCUUCUUAAAUUAAAAAAAAAUGCAUCAUGAGAAGCAUAUCACACACUAAAAGACAGAUUCUGGAGGGUUACAAAGGCAACACAGUAGAGGAAGGAGACUAAAACUCAAUGAGCUCGAGACUUUCUAGGAGUGACUCAUGUAUCCGAGAUGACCCUAGAAAUCCUUCUAGAAAAUACUGGGUAGGUCCACGGUCCUUACCUUUAGAUUUCAGUCUAAAAUCUGCCACUGACAUCGACUUCCUCUCUCCCUGUUAUACAUCCACAAGGAUUUUUGAACUCAACUUCGAGUAGCAUACAGAACUCAUCCCUGCACAGGCGACUUUGCUGUUUCAUUUAUAAAGACCAGAUCUAGGGACUGUGUUAUAACCAAAAAAGUCCCUUUUUUCCACAUUCAUAUGUAAAACUCAGUAAGAUCAGACCUGAGAGAAAAGACAGGAAAAGACAGGGGGUCUUUAACCAAUUGACUAGGCUCAGUGAGGCAAUGCUUGGCUCUGUAGGUCCCCUCUUGCUUGGGGAGACUCAGGACAGGGGCCCUACUGCUGCUGCCUGUGGCUCAGGAGCCCUCACUCUGCGAUGCUGCUGUGGCCUCCAUCCUGUUUCCAUUUCAGGCAGAGCAAACAUGUGUAAAUACUUUAUUAAAAUUAAAAAAAACUCAUGAAGUGAAAGCUGUUCCCCUCUGAUUGAUUUUUCAAAAGCUCCCUAGCCUGCUCCUGCUACAGAUGUUUGCAAAAUGAUUGGAUGCAAAGUGGGCUUAAUUCAUAAAAGCAAUAAAAUGUUGCUUAUUGACUGAACA
rnacentral:lncRNA from 12 species